rnacentral:misc_RNA from 1 species
GGAGUGCCAAUGCCUUCAGCAUCAAUCCUAUCAAUGGCUUCACCAUCAACCUCCAUGCCUCUACAAUCAACCCCUGUGCCUUCCCCAUCAAUUCCAAUGCCUUCAGCAUCAUCCCCAAUGGCUUCACCAUCAACCCCAAUGGCUUCACAAUCAACCCCAAUUACACAAGCUAACACCAAAACUGAGUCGACCUCAAUGAAAAAUAAAUGGC